rnacentral:rRNA from 1 species
CAGUAGCCGCGGUAAUACGUAGGGGGGCAAGCGUUGUUCGGAAUUACUGGGCGUAAAGGGAGCGUAGGCGGGUCGUUUAGUCAGGGGUGAAAUCCCGGGGCUCAACCUCGGAACUGCCUUUGAUACUGGCGAUCUUGAGUAUGGGAGAGGUGUGUGGAACUCCGAGUGUAGAGGUGAAAUUCGUAGAUAUUCGGAAGAACACCAGUGGCGAAGGCGACACACUGGCCCAUUACUGACGCUGAGGCUCGAAAGCGUGGGGAGCAAACAGGAUUAGAGACCCGUGUAGUCCCUGUCUCUUAUA